rnacentral:rRNA from 1 species
UGGGGAAUAUUGCACAAUGGGCGCAAGCCUGAUGCAGCCAUGCCGCGUGUGUGAAGAAGGCCUUCGGGUUGUAAAGCACUUUCAGCGAGGAGGAAGGUGGUGAACUUAAUACGUUCAUCAAUUGACGUUACUCGCAGAAGAAGCACCGGCUAACUCCGUGCCAGCAGCCGCGGUAAUACGGAGGGUGCAAGCGUUAAUCGGAAUUACUGGGCGUAAAGCGCACGCAGGCGGUUUGUUAAGUCAGAUGUGAAAUCCCCGGGCUCAACCUGGGAACUGCAUUUGAAACUGACAAGCUAGAGUCUCGUAGAGGGGGGUAGAAUUCCAGGUGUAGCGGUGAAAUGCGUAGAGAUCUGGAGGAAUACCGGUGGCGAAGGCGGCCCCCCUGGACGAAGACUGACGCUCAGGUGCGAAAGCGUGGGGCAGCAAACAGGAUUAGAUACCCUGGUAGUCCAGCGCUGUAAACGAUGUCGAUUUGGAGGUUGUGCCCUUGAGGCGUGGCUUCCGGAGCUAACGCGUUAAAUCGACCGCCUGGGGAGUACGGCCGCAAGGUUAAAACUUAAAUGAAUUGACGGGGUCAUAGCUG